GAGACACAAUCUAAAAGAUGUUCUGCGCUGUUGGUAGAACUUUGCUGAAAGGAGUGCAUUUUAUGCACCAGAGAGAGUUAUAGACAAACUAACUGAUUUUGAAAGAAAUCUUCCCACUUGGAUAUUUUAUGACUGUGAAAUCUCCAUUAGAAAACAUCAAACAACUUUCCGCAGAUGUUUCCCUGAAGUGAUUAGCAUAAUCCUCACUCGGAUGUGAAAUAGCCUGGGAAUCAUAAUUCUAAGUACUAUCUUUCAGACGAAUCCUGGACAGCAUCUCCUGGCUCAACCACAGAAGAAUACUGGCAUCCCUCCAUCCCUAAUGUUCCACCAUUUUUUUUUACCACCCUCUAUCAAGAGUGAUAAGACCUCCAGUGUGGACGAUGAAGUGAACAACUCCUAAGUAGUCUCUCUCACGGGAUGUGCGGACCCGAGGUGAUGGAAGAUGCUCCCCCGCGGAGCUCUGCCAAGUACACCCAGUGGAACCACUUACACGUUGUACCAUCCUUCAAACCGAGUGCGGGUUGGAAGGACCAAGGUCUGCCGGCAGCUGGAACGGAUGGGUCCUGAGCGCCUCACCUCUGCCCUCCACCGAGUCCAGCAGGGUCUCACCCUGCGGUUUACUCGCUGCAUGACCUCACCUGACCAGCUCCUCCACUGUGUCGGGGACAGGACAUUCCCGCUUAUGUCUCCACCAGACGACCAGCUAGGCUGUGGACCACACACGAACCUGCCCGUCGAUGGCGGAGCCCCGUGCCAACAGGAGGGGAGAGGCGGUGUCAGUGUGACGGGGAUGUGACGGCUGCCUUGCGGGCAGGGGUCUGAGUGCAGGUCUCUCCCUCGGCACUUUCCUCUGACCCUUAGAUGACUCACUGGGAAGACAAGGCUACGAGAGCCACCCUCUCGGCUGUCCAUUCCACAGCCAGACUCUCCAGGGGACAUCAGAUAGCAUUUUCCCAGGACGAGUUACUAUCCUGUUUGAACGGGUCCCUAAGGACACCGCUCUGUGAGCAGGGGGCGGGGGGGCAGAGCCCACAACUCCUGGGAGCUCCUCCUCGAGGGUCUUCCUCCCUGGGAAGCGGGUCGGUGAGUGGCCGGGCGCUGUGUGUGUGUGGCUGGCUCAGCAGCUGGCCUCUGCUGGCUUCCUGUCGGGUUCCUGAGGACUCGGGAAACACCACAAGGUGGAGUCAACAGCCCAGCCUCCCACGAAAGAGCAUAGCUGUGGAGCUCUGCCCCAGAUCGGAGCGCGAUCUCCCUGCUGGGGGUGACCAUCUCCCUCGAGCACACUGCAGAGAGUGGGGUGUCAGGGACCCCCGCCCUGCUCCCCCAUCAGCCCGGACCGCCCUCGUAAAGCUACCCCAACAAGCACUGCCCGGUCCUCACCAGCUCACAAUAGACAAGAACUUGCCAUAUGUUUCUUCUAUUUUCUCCUCCUGCUAGGGGCUCAUUCACUCACUCAUACCUUUAUGGAAACCUAUCGUUUUCCAGGCACAGUGUUAGGGACAGAGCACACGCACGUGAACGGCAUCAUCCUUGCGCAGUUCACGAUCUAGCAAGAGGUGAGCAGACAGGAGGCGUGGGCAUUCAACAAAUACUUGAUCGGUGCAUAAAUAUAAAACCACCGCCCACACUUUAGAUGUCCCUCCACAUUCAUGUGGAAUAUUAACAUAUGCAUCGCAAAUAUUUUGAGGUACAGGCUAAGGAACAGUUUGAUCUAACGGACCCAGAUGAGGAGACAGUUCUUGAUUUUGAGCCCUGAAGGCCAGGUCUCUGAUCAUCCAUGAAACAAGUUACUGAAGUUUUGAAAUUUGUAAGUAAGAAGGGUUACAUACCAGUAGUGACUAAUAAUCACGCUUGGGGUUCCCUGUUUUCAUCGGAAAACACUUUUCUUCCUCCUUCCUAAAUGAAGACAGUGAUGGCCCAGUACCUGUAGCUUUAAAGGGGAUCUGUUUUUCCCAUGUCCAUGGAAUGAAUCGUCACCAGGACACUGACUCAUCUUAGAGUGCCAAGGGCACUGUUACCCCAAGAACAAAGUAGAAAAGCUCCUGGUGAGAGUAUGUGUGGCUCAGGCUUCCUCCUGGCUCUGUCCCCUUUCGGCAAUGCCAGAAACCGCUUCUCCCGGCCAGUCUUCCUGACUCAUCCUACUUACAUAACCCACUUGAAGCCUCUUGGCACAUACAGUUUGUAUAUGCUUUUACAGACAUCCGCCAACCUCCAAAUUAAUCACUUUUCCCCUCUAAGCCCUCAAAUCAAAGGUUUACCCAACUGAUAUGUGCUCUUUUGGGGAAAUUGUUAUUUAGCCUGCAGAAUAAAGGUUAUAUAUAUAU